rnacentral:rRNA from 1 species
UACGUAGGGGGCGAGCGUUGUCCGGAGUUACUGGGCGUAAAGGGCGCGCAGGCGGUCUGGCAAGUUUGGAGUGACAGUGCUCGGCUUAACUGAGCAAGGCCUUCGAAAACUGCUAGACUUGAGCACUCAAGAGGGACAUAGAAUUCCGGGUGGAGUGGUGAAAUGCGUAGAUAUCCGGAGGAAUACCAAAGGCGAAGGCAGCGUCCUGGGGAGUGUCUGACGCUCAGGCGCGAAAGCUAGGGGAGCGAACAGG